GGGACCGACCUGGCUUCGACGUGGGUGCGGAUUUGGACUAGGGCAUGCCGAGCACCAGUUCGCUCGUAAAACCACUGGAAACAAAGUAACUGCGAACGACUCUACGUACGCUCUCGCCGCUUAAAACCGGUGAGCUUCGCAACAGUUGGCCGAUGGGCUGGGUCUGAGGGGUAACCCAAGGACUGCGAAGUCAUACACAUGGGCUCGUCCUGCAUCGCGUCAUUCGAUGCAGGAUCAAACUAAGUGAAUCGAGGUGAUCUCAGCGUGCUGCUGCGCGGUGAUCACCUUUAAAUCCAAAUCAGUCAGCUACGCAUGUAGAACUACCUGAUGAUGGCUUGCGGACGGGGGUUCGAUUCCCCCCGGUUCCACCA
rnacentral:tmRNA from 1 species